GACGAACGCUGGCGGCGUGCUUAACACAUGCAAGUCGAACGGAAAGGCCCUGCUUUUGUGGGGUGCUCGAGUGGCGAACGGGUGAGUAACACGUGAGUAACCUGCCCUUGACUUUGGGAUAACUUCAGGAAGCUGGGGCUAAUACCGGAUAGGAGCUCCUGCUGCAUGGUGGGGGUUGGAAAGUUUCGGCGGUUGGGGAUGGACUCGCGGCUUAUCAGCUUGUUGGUGGGGUAGUGGCUUACCAAGGCUUUGACGGGUAGCCGGCCUGAGAGGGUGACAGGCCACAUUGGGACUGAGAUACGGCACAGACUCCUACGGGAGGCAGCAGUGGGGAAUAUUGCACAAUGGGCGGAAGCCUGAUGCAGCAACGCCGCGUGCGGGAUGACGGCCUUCGGGUUGUAAACCGCUUUCGCCUGUGACGAAGCGUGAGUGACGGUAAUGGGUAAAGAAGCACCGGCUAACUACGUG
rnacentral:rRNA from 1 species